UACAGGGGGUGCAAACGUUGCUCGGAAUUAUUGGGCGUAAAGCGCGCGUAGGCGGCUACUUAAGUCGGAUGUGAAAGCCCUUGGCUCAACUGAGGAAGUGCACCCGAAACUGAGUGGCUAGAGUACGAAAGAGGGUCGCGGAAUUCCCGGUGUAGAGGUGAAAUUCGUAGAUAUCGGGAGGAACACCGGUGGCGAAGGCGGGUCUCUGGGCCGUAACUGACGCUGAGGAGCGAAAGCGUGGGGAGCGAACAGG
rnacentral:rRNA from 1 species